rnacentral:rRNA from 1 species
AUCCGGGUUGCGGACAGUGUCUGGUGGGUAGUUUGACUGGGGCGGUCUCCUCCUAAAGAGUAACGGAGGAGCACGAAGGUUGGCUAAUCCUGGUCGGACAUCAGGAGGUUAGUGCAAUGGCAUAAGCCAGCUUGACUGCGAGCGUGACGGCGCGAGCAGGUGCGAAAGCAGGUCAUAGUGAUCCGGUGGUUCUGAAUGGAAGGGCCAUCGCUCAACGGAUAAAAGGUACUCCGGGGAUAACAGGCUGAUACCGCCCAAGAGUUCAUAUCGACGGCGGUGUUUGGCACCUCGAUGUCGGCUCAUCACAUCCUGGGGCUGAAGUAGGUCCCAAGGGUAUGGCUGUUCGCCAUUUAAAGUGGUACGCGAGCUGGGUUUAGAACGUCGUGAGACAGUUCGGUCCCUAUCUGCCGUGGGCGCUGGAGAACUGAGGGGGGCUGCUCCUAGUACGAGAGGACCGGAGUGGACGCAUCACUGGUGUUCGGGUUGUCAUGCCAAUGGCACUGCCCGGUAGCUAAAUGCGGAAGAGAUAAGUGCUGAAAGCAUCUAAGCACGAAACUUGCCCCGAGAUGAGUUCUCCCUGAGACUUAGAGUCUCCUGAAGGAACGUUGAAGACGAC